CUGGGACACCUGCCCUCCACCGAGAGGCCCCCACUGCUCGUGGAAGGCCUCUGCUGUCCCGUCAUCCCGUUGGUGAUUAUGGCACCUGUCUCGCCUUCCUGGGACCGUACAGACAGCUACAUUUGGUGAUUUAAUCAUGCAUUUUUCAGUUAGUCCAACAUCUAUAACCUGCUGGUAGUCAAGGAAAUUGCCAAUCUAAGACCUGGAAGAAAAUGAGAGGUGUCUAUGAACACUCUGGGAACCCUGGAACAUCUGAAGAAACUAUGAAGGCACUAGAAUCUUCUGGAAACAGCAACAAGCACCUUGCUUUCUCACAGGUGGCUUGUGGUGGUGACUCACAAUUGCUACAAAGCCUGCUUGCAACAUGGUACCAAUUCCUAAACUUCUCUCCCUCUGAGCAGUGAGACAUUUCUCACUCCUACAUAAAGAAAAACGCCUUGAGAAAUUAAGAGAUAUCCAGGACAAGGAGAAAGAACUGCGAUGGUGGGAAUGAAGCUGCAACUAAAGCCAACAGAAACUGCCAAGUAUUCUCAAACAUAUAGCUCUAUGACACAGAAAAGAGCUAAGGAUAACAACAAACUGUGAAGGUGGCAAGAGAAUGUUUAUCUCAAUCGCCUCAAUAUCUAAGGACAAAUAAUGGAGUUACGUUUAAGGUGACAGCUAUUAAAGGGUGACCCAGAAAUGGCUGAGUUGGAACUGAGAUUCUUGCUAACCAAUAAUGAACAAAUAUCGGGGUGGAUGUGCUCAUCACAGGAGAGCCUUGGCUGAGCCAUGAGGCUACUGGCUGGGUGGGAACACUGGGGCAGGGCUGUGACACAGCUGGGACGGACACUGUGAAGAGCAGAUAGGACCAAAUGGAAGAAGACAGUGGGGCAAAGCCAAGGCAGCGUACAGUUGGGAGGAACUGGAGCUUGGGCCUGAGGCAGCAUGUGUGAGACUGGAAGACACCAACUAGGAGAGCAACCAGUGUGUUCAGGUAUAGGACUGGAGGAAAGAGAAGAAUACCGGAAGCCGCAGACACGCAGGUAAGAGAGAGCAGUGGGAACAAGAGAGCAGUGGAAGUGAAAGCAGUUUAUCACUGAACAACAACGCAACAGCAGAAACACAAUGACAAGAAAGCAGUUAGGGACCAGAGUGCUGCUCCAGAUCAGAGAGCUCACGGGAAGAGGUGGCAUUCAGGGCUAGCAGAAGCUGUUUAAGGCAAUUCCAGGCCAGACGUGGUGGGGCAUGCCUACAUUCUCAGCACUCGGCAGGCUGAGGCAGGA